rnacentral:rRNA from 1 species
CGGCGUGCCUAACACAUGCAAGUCGAACGAGGUCCAUCCAGUGGCAACACUGGUGAAGACCUAGUGGCGAACGGGUGAGUAACACGUGAGAAACCCACCCCGAUCUCUGGGAUAACAGGUGGAAACACCUGCUAACACCGGAUGCCUUCACCGCAUCGCAUGGCGUGGUGAAGAAAGGUUACGGAUCGGGACGGUCUCGCGGCCUAUCAGCUUGUUGGCGGGGUAAUGGCCCACCAAGGCUUCGACGGGUAGCUGGUCUGAGAGGACGAUCAGCCACACUGGGACUGAGACACGGCCCAGACUCCUACGGGAGGCAGCAGUGGGGAAUCUUGCUCAAUGGGCGAAAGCCUGAAGCAGCAACGCCGCGUGCGGGAUGAAGGCCCUCGGGUUGUAAACCGCUUUCAGCAGGGAAGAAACCAGACGGUACCUGCAGAAGAAGGUCCGGCUAACUACGUGCCAGCCGCCGCCGUAAAAC